CUGGCGGCGUGCCUAAUACAUGCAAGUCGAACGGACGAUGGGGCCUCGGCCCCAAAGUUAGUGGCGAACGGGUGAGUAACGCGUGAGCAACCUGACUCAAAGAGGGGGACAACAGCUGGAAACGGCUGCUAAUACCGCAUAAGACCACAGCGCGGCAUCGCAAAGGGGUCAAAGAAUUAUCGCUUUGAGAGGGGCUCGCGUCCCAUUAGAUAGUUGGUGAGGUAACGGCCCACCAAGUCCGCGAUGGGUAGCCGAGCUGAGAGGCUGAUCGGCCACACUGGAACUGAGACACGGUCCAGACUCCUACGGGAGGCAGCAGUAGGGAAUAUUGGGCAAUGGGCGCAAGCCUGAACCCCCAGCAACGCCGCGUGAGGGAAGAAGGUUUUCGGAUUGUAAACCUCUGUCCUAUGUGACGAAGGAAGUGACGGUAGCAUAGGAGGAAGCCCCGGCUAACUACGUGCCAGCCGCUGC
rnacentral:rRNA from 1 species